GUGGCUCACGCCUGUAACCCCAGUACUUUGGGAGGCCGAGGUGGGCGGAUCACAAGGUCAGAUUGAGACCAUCCUGGCCAACGUGGUGAAACCUCGUCUCUACUAAAAAUACAAAAAUUAGCUGGGCGUGGUGGCACGUGCCUGUAAUCCCAGCUACUCGGGAGGCUGAGGCAGGAGAAUUGCUUGAACCAGGGAGUUGGAGGUUGCAGUCAGCCGAGAUCACACCACUGAAUUCCAGCCUGGCGACAGAGCGAAACUCCAUCUCAAAAAAAAAAAAAAAAAAAAGAAUUGAGGGAACUGCUUCCAUUAAAAUAUAGGGAAUGUAGAGGAGUUCAACAUGGAACUUAAAGUGAUCCAGAGCACACAGACAGAAGAUGUGGGAAGAACAGCAGCAGUGAGAAGGUGGGUCAGGAGGGAGACUAGCCAGGAAGGAUGGUCAGAGGAGCAGCAACCCGGGGUAACAGUGUGAAGCCUGGUGGUUUAUGUGGCUCCCAAAAUGCCAAAGAGACAGACCCAGCAAAUACUGGAAGGCUACAAAUGUAGACAGGACACUUGGAUAAAACAAAGGUCAACAUAGUUUGCACUUCUAUGGGAAUUUGUUCCAUGAAAGGGCUGUAUUUACACAGCAACCCCCAAAUGCAGAAGGAGCCUGGAAACCAAAGGAGGCAGAGAAAUCCAAUGUGUGGUUUUGGGUGAUUUAUUAGGGAAAUUUACAAACAGAAACGUGGUCUUGGGUGGCUACAAGAUAGGUAGAUCUCUGCACUGCAACCCCCCAGACCCAGGGCUUAUAUCUUGGGGAAAAAUAUACAUGCUCUAGAAGGAAUGUGUAGGUGGCUACCAGCGUCACAGCCUAUGAUUUCUGCAACAGCAACGAGGGUUGUUUUGAAGGAAACUUACAGUAAAUGGGUGUUUCUACAUAAAUAAUAAUACAUCAACUCAACGUUUUGGAGGCAUUCCCAGACUUGGGAUUAGUCAGUGGAUUGGUAUUUAAAAUAAAUUCACUCUUGUCCCCACCAAGAGUUUUCCUCUUCAGUGAAUGAGGAGGCUUUGUGUAGAAAGCAAAAGUUCCUCUUCAAAUCCCUUUAAAUCAUAAAUGUUAUUGAUAUCUUUUCUCAAAACUAACUUUAAGUUUCUUAUUUGAUAGUAAUAACUCUCUGUUAAGCCUUAUGUAGCAAAGGUAACAGAAUGAGCAUACUCUGACUUCAGUAUCUGUUAAACAUGCUCACAGGCAUGUAGUACAUUCUAUGUCCUUGUACCUUAGUCAGAAUAUUCGUGCUGGACAUGCCCAGGCAUGUCCCAGCUUGCAGCCUACCCUCCUCCCUUAUUUGGGAAUAUUAUUACUUUUCUAAGUCCUUUCAUAAGCAACUUCCUUUUUUUCCUUUGUUCCUCACUGCCUUUACCUAUUUUAAAAAGUUUUGAACUGUUAGCCAAUCGGGUUUUAGUUUAGAUUGUGAGGUCUGGCUCCAGCCAAUGGAGUCAGGACACAGCAAUAGGGACCUCAUGUGUAAGGCAAAAAUAUUCUAGUAUCUUUUUUACUUUGUGGGUACUCCUGGCAGGAUUGCUGACAGGCACCACCACCCUUUCUGCAAAGAGUAAAAAGAGUUUCCUGUUGAGGAAACAUUUUGUCUAAUUGCGGAUUCUUCUCUGCAACAUCGGGGAAUAAGCAUUUAUUUCCAACACUUUGGUCUCCCAGGAAGGACUACCUGAGCCAUGAGUGGUUUGCCGGGCUUGGGGAGAAGCUCUGGUUUGAUGCAGCUUUUUCCGAAGCUCCCAGGGAGUGCAGUCUGGGCCUGGUCUGUGAUUGUUUAGGCUGGAAAGCAUGGCCCUGGAAGGUGCAAGCCUGGUCGAUAGGAGUAUGGGUAGCAUAUGCACCAACAAUGCUCUGCAAAAUCUGUCUUAUUAUUAAUAUUAACCAGCGUAUGGUACUGCAGGUGAGGCAUGCAUGGAGACAUUUUGUGUCCGGAAUUGGUUCCUUCCAGUGGGUUCUUGGUCUCACUGACUUCAAGAAUGAAGCUGUGGACCCUCGCGAAUGCUGUGAUUAUCAUGAGCUAAGUCUCUCUGUUUCCCCAACUCCCUGCACCUCCCAUCUCUUCUGUGUGCCCCAGAAUCUCCCAGAGUGAGACGGCCCUGAAGGACAAUGUCUGUGAUCCCAGCUCAGGCACUUCACUAUGUGGGUGCUCUCCGAGCUCAACUGGACAGUGGGAUCAUGGAGCCUCUCUUUCAGAAUGGUCAUUAGGAUUCAAUGAUCAGCUCAACUGGGGAAACUGGGGAAAGCAGGGGUCCUCCAAGGAAAAGUAUUUGCCAUGAGUGGAUCCCACCAUCCACUUUAUCGUCAGGGACCUGUCUACCAAGACUGGCUACAGAGCGUGUAAACUCUCCCUAGCUCUCUUCUUCCUGGCUGGUCCUUAAGAUAACUCGAAGUCUGGUGGGGUACGGUGUAAUUGCAGCUACUCAGGAGGUUGAGGCAGAGUUUUGCUCUUGUUGGCCAGGCUGGAGUACAAUGGCAUGAUCUCGGCUCACUGCAACCUCCGCCUCCCCGGUUCAAGCGAUUAUCCUGCCUCAGCCUCCCGAGUAGCUGGGAUUACAGGAAUGCACCACCAUGCCCGGCUUUGGUGGAUUUCAAUGUCUUUCACAAUUUUUUCCUAGACUGCCAAAGAAAAAAGGGUCCUCCUCUCCCUCUCUGAUUCCUGAGAAGUUUUCACUGGACACUACAAGAAAGACUUAAUAUGUAAACAGCGUAUGGAGUUGAACAGCUGGUUGUGUUUCAGAAGACGUAACAUCUUCUAAAUGUCAGGCUGCUGAGUGAAAGGCAGGCAGUGCCUGAGCCCAGCACUCCCUCAGGAUUCCCUGUUUCCAUGCGAAAGUGCAGAGAGCUCAAGUCAGUCUUCUAAUUAAACUUGGCAAUAUUACAAUGAAAAGGAAGAUUUGGGAGUUGGCAACGUGGCACAUAAACAAACUUUUAUGUGAAUAAUUAAGCGAGAGCUAAGCAUACGCUGGAACAUCUUUAAUCAACUUGUGAUUACAGUUACCAGUAAAAGCCCAAACGUUUCCGAAAGCUUCUACGUUGUUUAUGUGCUGUGGUUAUUCUAACAUAUCUCCUUUGAUAUACCCAGCAUAUCUUUUUAGCCAUUUUGCCUUCUUUCAUUUUUCUUCCUUUUUUCAAAUCCCUGCCCAAUUUUGACACAGGCAACUUGUGAAAAGGAUUGUAUGUGUAAGCUUACACACAGGUAAACGUGUGUGCACAAACACUUUACAUGUGAACACACACACACAAAGUCAGGAGAGCCCAUGGAUUGUGCCUUUAAGGAACUUUGCUCCAAUAAAACCCAGGGUGUUGUGUUUGGAAGCCAUCAGGAUGCAUCUGCCACCAUCAGAAAUGACCCUGUGGAACAGUCCAGAGCCAGGUCAGCCUGGAACGACAUCUCCCAGUUCACACCGGACUCCGCGUGUGCUAAUUCCCAGUGGGUCUCAAAGCGCCAUCAUGAACUUUUAUCAAACCUUCGUGCAUUUCAAACUACAACUGCAGAAACCACAUGAAAGUUUGCUGCAAAACAAUUUCUGCUAAAGGCUUUCCAAACAAAAGCGGUUGAAUGUUUAAGAGAAUUUAAACAAGACAGGAAUCUCUAUAUACUAGGCAGCAUGCUGAGAAAGCAAUGUAGGAAAGGCCACAUUGUAGGAAAGGGUAGGUUUCAGAAUUCCAUCUCCUAUUCCAGUUCGGAGCACGAGCUCACUGUCAUUUAAGCUUUGAAAGUCAAAUCCUUUCCUUGUAUUUUUCGAAACCACUGAUGCAGCUUAAGAAAACAGUGGAAAAGUACAUUUUUAAAAUGUAGGAGAUUAAUUCUGCUUCUCUCUAUCCCUCAAAAGAAAGAUAAUUAUAGAGACUAGGCUAGUGCCACAUAUAUUAUAUGUAAAAUAUUUAGAUUCUCUUGGACUUUCACUAAAACUAAACUUUCACUAAACUAAACCAGUUCAGUGGUAUUUUAUAUUUUUCUAACAUUCAUCUUCUUUUCUUUUCUUUUUUUUUUUUUGAGACAGAGUCUCACUCUUGUCGCCCAGGCUGGAGUGCAAUGGCGUUAUCUUGGCUCCCACGGCAACCUCCGCCUCCUGGGCUCAAGUGAUUCUCCUGCCUCAGCCACCCGAGUAGCUGGGAUUACAGGCAUGCCACCACGCCUGGCUAAUUUUUGUGUUUUUAGUAGAGACGGGGUUUCACCAUGUUGGCCAGGCUGGUCUCAAACUCCUGACCUCAGAUGAUCCACUCACCUCGGCUUCCCAAAGUGCUGGGAUUACAGGUGUGAUCCAGUGUGCCUGGCCUAUUUUUCUAACAUUCUUCUACUCCGGACUCUCCCCUCCCAAGCUUUAAGUUUUUCCCAGCAAAGAGUAACAUUAUUCAGUUACUGUACAAGUUCUAGAACAACUACUAGAUUAGCAUCUCCCUGGCUCCAGGAACAAUACAUUUUUGCUACUCAAACAAAGAAACCAGAGAAAGAUUAGUGGCUAACUCCAUCUGAUAUGAAACAAACCAGUCAUUUUAACUUUAAAAUGAAAAAUUCUGUACUCUGUAUCUGUCUCAGUUGGCCCAGAAGGAUGAACCCUGCUUACCUUGGACACAAAACACUCUGCUAUGGCCACAGGAUCAUUUUCACAGUUUUCCAAAUCUUGCAGAAGUUCACUAAUAAAAAAAUAACAGCCAGGAAGUAUUAGAUUGUAGUCUUCUGGGUGAGUACAUUUUGUAUAAUUUAAAAGUUUAAACAUUUCCAUGGCAUUUACAAGGAAUCAUAUAAUUGGAUAACUGAGGACCUGCUGUCAUUGUAUCCAAGGCUUAGGUAAGGGACUUGCCCAAGGUCAUGGUGGAGCAGGGGAUUAAACCCAGGUUGAACCCAUAACUCUCCCACCAGAGCUAAGCCCUGCCUAUCUUUAAGUUUUGCAGACGUUUGUCAUCAUCUACUUGAAUGCUCACCCAUGCUCAUUCAGACAUCAAAUAGCUGCCUAGGUACCAGGUACAGUGUACCUGUACUAGGAACACAUCAGUGAGCAAAGUAAGACAUGGGCUCUCGGAGGUCCCCAACCUUUUUGGCACCAGGGAUCAGUUUCGUGGAAGACAACUUUUCCACAGACUGGACUGUGGGGAUGGUUUUCGGAUGACUCAAGUGCAUUACACUUACCAUUAGAUUCUCAUAACCUAGAUCCCGCGCAUGCACAGUUCACAAUAGGGUGUGUGCUCCUAUGAGAAUCUAAUGCUGCCACUGAUCUGACAGGAGGUGGAGCUCAGCUUCGCUUGCUCUCACCUCCUACUCUGCAGACCAGUUCCUAACAGGUCACAGACUGGUAUUGUCUGUGACCUGGGGGUUGGGGACUCCAUGGCUCUGGUUUUAUGGAGCUUCCAAUCCAUUGGAAGAGUCAAGCAUUCAGUGAAAAAUCACACUAAUGAAUACAAAAUUAUAAUAGAGAUAGUGCUUUAAAGGAGAGAUAUGCUGGGAAGGGAAAUAUCUUUCCUCAAAUGUAAAUUCAUGUUAUUUUUUUUACUAGGAGUAUCAUUAUUUUAAGUAACAGCAUAAUACUUCAUUGUGUGACUAUACCAUAAUUGAUUCAAUGAAUCUCACACUGUUGGAUAAAAUUCUAUAUAUGGAAUUGAUGGGUCAAAGAACAUUCUCAGUGUAAAUGUUAACACAUUUCUAAAUUGCACUCCACAUGAGUUAUACUAAUAUACACCUUACCAUGCUAAGUGUUUAUUUUAAUGAGCCAUAUGCUAUAUAUUUAAUAAAAAGUGAAGUAGUUCUACAGGAAUUAUGAUAAAAA